UGAAACCCUAAACCUAAACCCAGUGCGCGGCGGCAGCCACCUCCUUUGCAUCUAUAUAAGCACACUCCCCACGCCUUAGCACUUCAAUAUCCAUAUCACCGCCUCCUAACACGGCUCGUUCUCAAUCUUUUCGAUGGGUCAACUACUUGUUGCCGGAGCUGUUAUUGAUCAAUCGGCGCUGUAUGGAAGGGGAUGAAGAGCUGGGAUUCGGUUAACAAUCUAGGAAUAUUGUGUUUAUCCUGUGUCAUGCAAAUUUACUUCUAGGCUCAGGAUGUCAAAAUAUGUGAGUAUUUUUUUUAAAAUAUUUUGAUAAACGUGAAUUUUUAUGUUCUCAUUAACGAUAGUGAUUACUUAAAAGGAAAACAAAAAUAUGCAAUAUGCAUCAUAGCACUGAAUUGAUGUUUUACCAUGUCAUAGACACUACGAACUUGGAAAAAUCAAUAUCUAAAUCCUUUCGGGUGUCGAAUUUAUUUAAGAGGAAAUGCAAAUGAUAGGUAUUUUAUUACUGUACAUACUUAUUUUUAUGUUCAUUUUUCCUCCUAUAAAGAUCUUUAUGUACAUUAAUAUAUUAUAAGAAUCUAAAGUCGACAACUACUUACUGGUCAUCUGCUAGCUGUGCUGAGCUCUGUGACACCUUUCUUUGCAUUGGCAAUGAAUUCUCUUUCCCUUAUGAUCUGCUUUUUCAUAAAAUUUCACCAUUUAUUGAUUGCGUUCCCAACAAAAAUUGUCAUCGAAAGCCCUAUCUGUGCCAACUCAUCCUACAACGGGUAGAAAAUUUCUCUGUUUUUUACGCUAGAUUUACAUGUGAUGAUGUGUCAUUUUUCAUACGUUCCAACUCUUGUGGAUAUUAAUAACUUCAUUUCCUGAUCUCUUCAUGAGGAUAUAUGUCUGGUCUCCUUAUAUGGAUGACUGCUUCUUUCGUUUCUACAUUGUUAACAUAUUCAGAUUUUAUCCCAAAGCAUCAACGACUAUCUGCAGGGGCGUAUGUUGUUUUAUAAUAUGAACAUUUGCUUCUAGUCUUGAAGUCAUUAGCGUUGUGCUUGGCAUGUUAUGCAAAUUACAAGUAAUUGUUUGAAGUGCCUAAUUCCUAAAAAAUGAAGUUAGUUCUUUUGACCAGAAAUAUGGGAGUUUACUAAUACGAUCAUAAUUAUGGGAAAAGAUCAGAAGCUGCAUUCCUCAUAAGUAGGGUCUACGGAUGAUUUGUUCCAGUUAUGAACAUAUAUAGGCAAAAUCAAAUACACACUUGGCAAGUUGUUUUUUUAAAUAUUACAUGUGAUCUUUUUGAAAAUAUACUGUUCAUUAUAGCAUAUAGUGUGGGAUUUCUGGUUGUGUUCUUAUUUUAAUUUCUAGAAAUUUGGGGGGUGCAGACUGAUGUCAGUUCACAAUUCAUUUCUUGUUCUACAGGUUCUUCUAAUCUAUGGUGCAUACACGAAUUGGAAACUUCUUGAACAAUACGGGUUUCUUGUACUUAAAAACCUAAAUGACAAGCUUUUUUUUACAAUAGAAUCCGAAGUGUAUUUCCUUUGUUCAUGGCCGAAGGAAUGAGGAAAUAGGGGCAGAUGGCUUUUUGACCAUGGCCCUUGAUUGUUUAAAAAAAUAAUAAAUAAAUAAAUAAAUAAAUAAAUAAAGAAUCAUUAAAACCAAUAAAAACUAUGAAAAUCCAUUUUUGCCCUCACACGGACCUAAAGAGUGAAAAAGAGGGGAAGUUUAUGUAGCAAAAUCAUUGCAUGUAAGCAAGGAAAACCGACAAUCCAGACUGGAGCUCUCCAUUUGUGUGAAGAAGGAUGAAUUACAAUCUGAACGCUGUCAUGAGAUAGAUUCCUUGCAAAGUUACAUCGAACUGUAAUUUUGACAGCUUCACAUCAGUAUUAGAUUCGUUGGACGAGGAGUACGUGAAAAUAUUACGUCGAUCCUGCUUAUGGCCCUUGUAUUCGCUGCGCUUUGUACAACUUUCUGGACAGUUGCUCGAUUCAUUAUUGUGUUGACUGCUUAAGCUAGUUGGCGGAGAUAUCCUCCACUUUGACCUUUGGGUCAAUGUUUCUAUAUCUUAUAUAUUCGAGUGUAUCCUCAUCACUGGAUUGAGAUGUAUAGGCGAAGAAGCAACGAGGGCCCAUAUUCCGACAAACAAGAGGUUGCUGAAUGAUUAUUUUAAUGGGUAUAUGACAAUAAUACUAGCACAGUUAGGAGAUGCAUUCAGGAAAUGCGACCAAAUGUUCGACAAGUUGAAGUUGGGGAAGGUGUUUAUACUCGAGAGCGUAUUGAGGUGUCAUCACAUAAAGAUGUCGAUUGACGUUUUCAUUUGGAAGUUGAUGAUAUCGAUACGUUCAACAGUUAUCCGAAGGGCAGAGAUACUUUGUCCAUACUUUACGCGUUUUUAAGAGGGGGCAUUCGAUGCCUAAGAGGGAUAGGUUUGAAUGUAAAUACGAUGUAUAUGGCAUGUCGUUAGCUUUGCAGCUAUGAGCCUACGAGGCUGUCCUCAUCUUGACUGGUCGAUAUGCGAGGAGACGGGAUACAUGCUGCCCUUGAAUGCACCACUGGCGAGCACAAAACUUAGUUUUUAGCCAUAUGUUAUCGAGUUAAUAUAUUAUUAUUUACUUAUAGGGGCGAUUGUGCUAUACUCACAAUAAAAUAUAUAGAAUUUUUUAUUAUUGGGCACAAUGCUGAUAAAAUAAUUCAAUUUUGGAUAGAUAUGUGGAGGUUGAAGUUAACCUGCAAAUACAGUUGUGAUCUUGAGUACAUUGUGUAUUAUUUUAUUUGAAAAUGUAAAUAUUAAAUCGUGUUCCAACACAACAAUUGUAUAAUAUUUGUUUAUUUUAUUCCUUUA